CGGACAUAUCGAGGAUUGACAGACAGUUACCAUGCCCUUUCGAAAGGAGUCAGGUUUUAAACCUAAUGGCUCUUUCAUGAUUAUAUGAUAGGUGGUGCAUGGCCGUUCUUAGUUCGUGGAGUGAUCUGUCUGCUUAAUUGCGUUUCAAAUUUUUAUUUGAGGACCAGGUUUUGGUUUGGGUAGUGGUCCUACGAUGACUGUGAACUGUCAUGUCUUCGGAUGUGCGACUAUCGGUCUAGGAUCGCAUCUCAGCCCCUGGGACUCUUUUGAACGCAACGGACGUGAUUGCAACCCCUUGUUGAGAUUAGAGGAGUCUCGAUAUUCAUUGGCCAAACUUACCGCUUCGAGCUUGCUCGUGCAGUUUUGUUAGCCGGUGGAUAAACUCGGGGGACUGCUGACUAUAACCAUUUCUCAAAACAGAGGAAGGUUGCGGCAAUAACAGGUCUGUGAUGCCCUCAGAU
rnacentral:rRNA from 1 species